ensembl:lncRNA
AUCUGUUUUACGGCUGCCUCUAUUCUAACGAGUGAAUACUGCCAAUAAAGCAAUUGAAGAUAACACUAAUUGCUUAUUUCUGUGAUCCAUAAUUUUUAUGGCUGCCUUAUAGCUCUUUAGUCAAAUAGAUGCUUUUUGGCCUUUAAGAUCUAGAACUCAUGUACUGUAGCAGUUGAAACUGGAAAUGCACAUGCUGGUCUGAGAGGCUUUUCUGUACUUGAUUAAUAGGAUGCAGCAGAAAAACAAUUGAAAGAUGUGAAAGAAAAUAGAAGUCUUAAAUCAGCUCUAACAGAACACCUGCUGUAUUCUCCCAGCAAACGCUGGGGCCACAGCGUCUCUCCUCUAAUGACACCUCAUCAAUCCGCUCCUAUCAAUGUCCCAGCCAUGGAGGUGACUUCGAGUGCUCAGAAGCCUUAGAAAAUGUCAACGUUUUGGGAGAAAAGGUCAGUCACAGCUUCCCCCCCACCUCCCCUGCCAAGCCACCGUGGGCCUGGCGUUCAUUAUCCUAAUUAAAUCCAGCAGCUGAACAUCUUCUUAUCUGUAGGGGAGGAGAGCAGGGGCAUGAUGCAAUAGGAUUGAUUUGCAUAUCCAAAGUUAAUUAGUGCGGAGGAGCAGGUGUACAGUAAUAAUAAUUAUCACACAUGACAAUCACCUGUGACCACUUCCCCGCGCCCCUUCCGGGAUUCAGCACAGUGAUUGCUGGCUGUUUUUUUCCUUGCUUGAUACCCAUCCUGAGCUGUUUAUGUCCUUGUGCCUCUCUUCACAAACCUGCUCAUCAUUUGUACCCCAAACAUGAGGAGACCCAGAAAAAUUCUGAUUGUCACACGAGGUGCUUGAGAGGGAGAAGAGAGUGAAAAGAGUAUCUUCUAGAAAUUUCCAUCUGAGGUUCAAGGAAAAGUCAGUGGAAGUCGUUAUCCAUGUCAACAUUGAACCAAAAGGUAAAGAAUUUUAUAAUACAUUAACAUUUCACCUGGAGAUUAUUUUUAUUGAUUCCUCUAAGGAUAUAUAAUUAUUGUUCAGUAGCUUUUAAUGAAAGAAAUUGAAUUGCAAAAUUAAAACGUUUCUAUAUAUAUAUAUAUACACACUUUAAGUUCUGGGAUACAUCUGCAGAACCUGCAGUUUUGUUACUUAGGUAUAAAUGUGCCAUGGUGGUUUGCUGCACCCAUUAACCUGUCAUCUACAUUAGGUAUUUCUCCUAAUGCUAUCCCUCCCCUUGCUUGCCAUCCACCAAGAGGCCUCGGUGUGUGUUGUUCCUCUCCCUGUGCCCAUAUGUUCUCAUUGUUCAACUCUCACUAAUGAGUGAGAACGUGUGGUACUUGGUUUUCUGUUCUUGUGCUAGUUUGCUGAGAAUGAUGGUUUCCAGCUUCAUCCAUGUCCCUGCAAAGGACAUGAACUCAUUAUUUUUAUGGCUGCCUAGUAUUCGAUGGUGUAUAUGUGCCACAUUUUCUUUAUCCAGUCUAUCAUUGAUGGGCAUUUGGGUUGGUUCCAAGUCUUUGAUAUUGUGAAUAGUGCGGUAAUAAAUAUACGUGUGCAUGUGUCUUUAUAGUGGAAUGAUUUAUAAUCCUUUGGGUACAUACCCAGUAAUGGGAUUGCUGGGUCAAAUGGUAUUUCUGGUUCUAGAUCCUUGAGGUAUUGCCACACUGCCUUCCACAAUGGUUGAACUAAUUUACACUCCCCGCAGCAGUGUAGAAGCGUUCCUAUUUCUCCACAUCGUCUCCAGCAAAAUGUGUUUCUUAUUGACUGUCAUAUACCAUAGACAGUGCCAGUCACAAUUGAAUUGCUAAAAUUAAAUGUAAUUUUUAUAAAAAAUAAGAUACAAAUUAAAAUGUAGAUGAAAAGUUUGGAGAGGUUUUGGUAUAAUUCAUACUUCCAUUAGGUUCUCUACAGUAACUGUUUGGGAAACCAAAGGGUUUCUUCUUUCUUUAUUCUCCCUUUCUAUUCAUCUUCCCCUCAUGCCUUGUCCUUUCUCCAUUUCCUCAUCAUUUUUGUAAGUCCAAGUAAGCAAAAUUUCAGCCCUAUGUCAUGAAAAUUGUCUGAUGCAGCACUUUCCAUUAUUAAAAUAUAUUUAUAAACAUUUAAUACCAUCAAUUUAUAGCAAAUUCUCAAAUAAGGAAGUGGUCCUAUCUGAUACUUUAUUUGGAUGUCAAUUAUCUGCAAUCUUAAACAAGUUUUCAUAUAUAUGCAAUAUUGAAAAUGUCAGUUUGUCUCCCAGGCCAGCCUACACAAUCCUAUUUAAUUCAUAGCAUAAUUUUCAAAUCUUAUUUUACAAUAAAAUUUGGAAAAAUAAAUGUGCUCUAACACUUCUAAUAAAACAAAACAAUAAAAUACCAAAAUACAAUGAUGAUUUUUAUUAAAAACAUUGAAACUAGAGGAAAUUAGAUUUAAUGGAGCAGAGAUAAGAUAAAUCUACAAUUUAAUAAACUCUCCUAGCAUUUGUCAAGUGCUCUGUGAGUAUUUUACCUAGAAUUCUUAGCCUUACAACACCUGUAAAGUAGCUAUUAUUCCCGUUGUGCAGGUAAGUACUCUGGAUCUAACAAGUUUAAGUAAUUUAUCUAGGGCCAAAAAACUGAAAAAAAGAAUCUGAGGAUGGGCCUGGCAUGGUGGCUCACGCAUGUAAUCCCGGCACUUUUGGAGGCUGAGGCAGGUGGAUCACCUGAGGUCAGCAGUUUGAGACCAGCCUGGCCAACAUGGUGAAAUCCCACCUCUACUAAAAAAAAAAAAUACGAAAGUUAGCUGGGUGUGUGGGCAUGGCAUGCACCUGUAAUCCCAGUAACUUGGGAGGCUAAAAAAUGGAAAUUGCUUGAAGCCAAGAGGUGGAGGUUGCAGUGAGCUGAGAUCCAGCCACUGCACUCCAACCUGAGAAACAGAGUGAAACUCCUAUCAAAAUAAUAAAAAAAAGAAUCUGAGGAUGAAUCUUCUUAACCUGAGUAUGAUUAACUCGAAUUCUUUCUACCGUCCCAUGCUAUAAGGAGUCCAGGUACUUUCAUUUCACUUUCAAAGAUUUCACACUGAAUAUUUUUCACAGCUUUCCUGAAUAGGAAGGAACACUUGAAAUGACUCCUUUUCAAAUGCAUUACUUUAAAACUGAAAAAACUAGGCAGGGUGCGGUGGCUCAUGCCUGUAAUCCCAGCAUUUUGGGAGGCCGAGGCAGGAGGAUCACCUGAGGUCAGGAGUUCGAGACGACCGUGGCCAACAUGGUGAAACCCCGUCUCUACUAAAAAUUCAAAAAAUUAGCCAGGCGUGGUUGCAUGCACCUGUAAUCCCAGCUACACAGGAGACUGAAGCAGGAGAAUCGCUGGAACCCGGGAGGCAGAGGUUGCAGUGAACUGAGAGCAUGCCACUGCACUCCAGCCUGGAUGACAGAGCAAGACUCUGUCAAAACAAAAACAAAAACAAACAAACAACAACAAAAACAAUAAAAACCUGAGAAAACUAAGGCUCUACUUACAGGCAAGGCCAAUCCCAAAUUCUGUUUCUUUAGAUUCUGGUGACUGCCUUCCUAUUUCUAAAGAUAGUGACAAAAUUAAAAUUCUCAUUAUGUCUUGCCUAGAUUAUUGCAGUAGUUUCCUCACCUGUCUCUCUGGCUCCAGUUAAUAAUCCUGUAUACUUCUAUUUGAGUAAAUUUAUCAAAUAUAAAUGCUUGAAUAGAUUCAUAACUGAGUGGUUCUUAGGUUGGGACUAGGAGUGAAUUCAGCAAAGGAGACUAGGAGAUGUAAUUAUUAAGGUAUUUAGUACAUUAUUAAGCAUAUUACAACUAACAAACCAAGUAUAGAUGAUGAGUAUCAUGAAACAAAGAUUAUGUUUCAUGCAGUUCUGUGCCCAUUUGCUGUUUAAAAUAAAACAAAAAUUAUUUGAUUACUUGCAUUUUCAGUAAUUUUUCUUCAUUACUAUUCUAAUUAUUUUAACUUCUACUCUUUGAAAUCUUCUUCCCAGCCAAGUUCUGAAAAAACUGAAUAAAAAAGUGUCAGAUGGAGGCCAAAACAUCAACUUCCUUACUAAUAAAAUGCAAGUUGAAGGAUGUAGCUUAGUAUUAGGUAGAUUUGCCAUUUAGUUGGAGGCAGCCAUAGACAGCCAAGGCCUCCAAACUUCCUAGCCUCACUAGUAUUAUAAUUUCUCUAAUACAUGGUUUUUUCAUCUCAAAUUCCACAUUUUUGUUUCUUUCUAUGGACCAUGUAGCAAAGGUUGCAACAUUUAUAGAAUUCCAUUAAAUAGCAUCCCACUUCCUUGCCAGCUUUCUGAAAAAUUGAAAUAAUAUAAAAGGAUUACCAAUAGAGGUUAGAAUGUCAAUUUUUUUUUUAUUAUUACACUUUAAGUUCUAGGGUCCAUGUGCAUAACGUGCAGGUUUGUUACAUAUGUAUACUUGUGCCAUGUUGGCGUGCUGCACCCAUCAACUUGUCAGCACCCAUCAACUCGUCAGCACCCAUCAACUCGUCAUUUACAUCAGGUAUAACUCCCAAUGCAAUCCCUCCCCCCUCCCCCCUCCCCAGGAUAGGCCCCAGUGUAUGAUGUUCCCCUUCCCG